AUAAACGAGCGAAAGUCUUAACCGACCUAGCUUUAUAAAUAAAUCCAUCUUAUACACCUGUGAACUAUUUGCCCUCCGGGGUAUACCAACCAAACGUUUAAACUGUAAUGAAUGUAAACCUACUAUAAUGUAAACAAUA
rnacentral:misc_RNA from 1 species